CCCCCUCUCUGCACCCAAUCACCUGCGACCGCGCCCUACAAAACAUCCGGCCAGCGCCACCCAAACCCCCAGGUGCCCUGACUCUGGCGCUCCCACCUGGUGAUGACCGACGGAGCGCUGACAGGCACAUCCAGGGCAUGGCUGCUCCCCCGCGCCCCGCCCUCCCCAAACAUCUCUGACGGACGGUUGGCUGCAGCCCAGGAAGCACCGUCGCGCCGCGGCCUGCAUCCCAGCCCCGCCCCUCCGAGCGGGAAGGAGGGCUGUGUGGAAUGCUCCAGCUCCCUCGCCAGCCUAAACGCAAGCCCGCUCUUUCCAGUGCAAUAAAACGAGAUGUACAACAA